GGAGGGCAAAUGAGUAAUUUCGCAUAGCGCCACCCAAAACCGAAAACGUUCCCGCGUUUUGAUAAAUGUGAAGUCGUGGGCUCUCGAUCGUUGAUACAGCGCAAGAGCACCAUGGCGAGAGUUAACGACAAAUGGGAGAGGCUAGUGCGUGCGACUUCGAAGAGAUUGCGGCUCAGAAAUGCAGGGCAGGGCCAUGGGAGGACUCCCUGUGGGAUUGUUGGAGCUGUACGAUCCUGACUCUAUAUUGCUGUCUGCCGAUGAAAUCCAAGCGGAGGACUCCAAUGUUGCUAGGAUUUGGUAGCAUUACAAACCACAAGUACAUUCUGGGAAAGUAUCAGGUGGUAAUGAAGAGAAAAUUCUCAGAAGGGAUGCUUACAGGCUUGGCAACCUUUUGUUUUCUUCAGAAUGCUAUCGUCUUAUUUCACAACUGUUAGUUACUAUGCAUGCUCAAUGAUGACAGUUCUUUGUUCACGAUGGGUGAUGGGUUGAGAAAGGAGUCUCACAUCCCCUAAUUAAGGGGUUGAGCAUGGAUUUAUAAGGAAGAAAUACAUCUUCGUUGACAUGAGGCAUUUUGAGGAAACCAAUAACAAAGUCACAAGAGUUUAUGCUCAAAGUGGAUAAUAUCAUACCAUCGUGGAGAAUCGUAGUUCCUAACAUUCUUGUGGUUUAUAUUUUCUUGUGUGGACGGGUUUACUUGGCCUUCGCCGGAGAUGACGAAGCAAUCUCAAGAAGAGCAAGGAUGUCGGGAAGCACAGCAUUGGAUACGGCACUGAAUGCUCGGUUUUUGUUCCAGAUUCGAGUUUUUACAGCAAUCCCUUUGAUAAUCGGUUUUUGUACUUCAACUUGGACUGCUCAAGGCACGUUUUCAAAUAUUGCGAGGACAGAUAUUGGAGACAACUUUGACUGUGAGGUUCUUCAUAUUUCAAUAUGGAAGUGUGUACAAACUCCAUCUCACAGGAAAGAACACAUAACUUGCGGUAACCUCUUUUUCAUGGCUGGCCUUUUCUUUUUAUUGAUAAGAAAAUGAAAAGGUUGAAUAUAUGGCAAUGCUAUGUUUAGUCAAAACUUGAAAUAUGAUAUGUUUAAUGAACACGGUUGAUGUAAUAGUA